GACGAACGCUGGCGGCGUGCCUAAUACAUGCAAGUAGAACGCACAGUUUAUACCGUAGCUUGCUACACCAUACACUGUGAGUUGCGAACGGGUGAGUAACGCGUAGGUAACCUGCCUGGUAGCGGGGGAUAACUAUUGGAAACGAUAGCUAAUACCGCAUAAUAUUAAUUAUUGCAUGAUAAUUGAUUGAAAGAUGCAAUUGCAUCACUACCAGAUGGACCUGCGUUGUAUUAGCUAGUAGGUGAGGUAACGGCUCACCUAGGCGACGAUACAUAGCCGACCUGAGAGGGUGAUCGGCCACACUGGGACUGGGACACGGCCCAGACUCCUACGGGAGGCAGCAGUAGGGAAUCUUCGGCAAUGGACGAAAGUCUGACCGAGCAACGCCGCGUGAGUGAAGAAGGUUCUCGGAUCGGAAAGCUCUGUUGUAAGAGAAGAACGGGUGUGAGAGUGGAAAGUUCACACUGUGACGGUAUCUGACCAGAAAGGGACGGCUAACUACGUG
rnacentral:rRNA from 1 species